GUCUACGGCCAUGCCACUCUGAACGAGCCCAAUGUCUGAUCUCAGAGCUAAGCAGGGUUGGGCCUGGUUAGUACUUGGAUAGGAGACCACCUAGGAAGACUAGGUGCUAUAGGCA
rnacentral:rRNA from 1 species